rnacentral:rRNA from 1 species
UACGGGGGGUGCAAACGUUGCUCGGAAUUAUUGGGCGUAAAGAGCACGUAGGCGGUCGGGUCAGUCGGACGUGAAAGCCCAGGGCUCAACCCUGGAAGUGCGUUCGAUACUACCUGACUUGAGUACGGGAGAGGAGAGUGGAAUUCCCAGUGUAGCGGUGAAAUGCGUAGAUAUUGGGAGGAACACCGGUGGCGAAGGCGGGUCACUGGACUGCAACUGACGCCGAGGUGCGAAAGCUAGGGGAGCGAACAGGAUUAGAAACCCCAGUAGUCC